AUACGGGGGGGGCAAGCGUUGUUCGGAUUUACUGGGCGUAAAGGGCGCGGAGGCGGUUUGUUAAGUCGGAUGUGAAAACUAUGGGCUCAACCCAUAGCCUGCAUCCGAUACUGGCAGACUAGAGUGCGAGAGGGGAAAGCGGAAUUCCUGGUGUAGCGGUGAAAUGCGUAGAUAUCAGGAGGAACACCGGCGGCGAAGGCGGCUUUCUGGAUCGCAACUGACGCUGAGGCGCGAAAGCUAGGGGAGCAAACAGGAUUAGAUACCCCGGUAGUCC
rnacentral:rRNA from 1 species